rnacentral:rRNA from 1 species
GAAUAUUGGACAAUGGGGGCCACACUGAUCCAGCCAUGCCGCGUGUGUGAAGAAGGCCUUUUGGUUGUAACGCACUUUAAGCAGUGAAGAAUACUCCAUGAUUACUACCGUUGGACGAUGACAUUAGCUGCAGAAUAAGCACCGCCUAACUCUGUACCAGCAGCCGCGGUAAUACAGAGGGUUCAAGCGUUAAUCGGAAGUACUGGGCGUAAAGCGAGCGUAGGUGGCUUGAUAAGUCAGAUGUGAAAUCCCCGGGCUUAACCUGGGAACUGCAUCUGAUACUGUUAGGCUAGAAUAGGUGAGAGGAAGGUAGAAUUCCGGGUGUAGCGGUAAAAUGCGUAGAGAUCUGGAGGAAUACCGAUGGCGAAGGCAGCCUUCUGGCAUCAUAUUGACACUGAGGUUCGAAAGCGUGGGUAGCAAAC